UACGGAGGGGGCUAGCGUUGUUCGGAAUUACUGGGCGUAAAGCGCACGUAGGCGGCUUUGCAAGUCAGAGGUGAAAGCCCGGGGCUCAACCCCGGAAUUGCCUUUGAGACUGCAUCGCUAGAAUUGUGGAGAGGUAAGUGGAAUUCCGAGUGUAGAGGUGAAAUGCGUAGAGAUGUGGAGGAACACCGAUGGCGAAGGCAGCCUUCUGGGCCAACACUGACGCUCAUGCACGAAAGCGUGGGGAGCAAACAGG
rnacentral:rRNA from 1 species